GGCCGAUUAGCAAGUGGGACACGCGGCGGACUGUUAAUCCGUGAAUUACCUGGUUCGACUCCAGGAUUGGCCG
rnacentral:tRNA from 1 species